CAGGAAGCUAGGUGACUCGGCUUCGCCGCUCCUGUCACGACGCUUGGGCAGGCUCAUCCAUUCGCCCAUCCGGCUCUAGAGUACAAGUCCAGUCUGCUACCCAGAACCACUAAGUGAGAAAACCGACUCCAAAAUCACCCUUGGCCUGAUCAAACCACCAGUGAACAGGACAUGACUUCUCAGUGCGUACGAGCAGGAGUUGGACACCAGCCCAGGAAGAGAUCAGAGCGUUGGGGAGAAUAUUCUCCGAAAAACAACGUGGCAUUUCCCCCAGCAAGUUAAAUGUGGAGUGACCGCAUGACCAAACAAAAUCAACCUUUCAGAUGAACAUGUACAUCCACGUAAAGGCUUGCUCACCGUCCUCGUGAGAGGGAAAAGGUGGGAACGGUCCAAAUAUCCACCAGCUCAUGAAUGAACACGCAGGAAGCAUACAUCGGAACAAUUACCUGGCAGUCGAGAAGAAUGAAGUCCUGGUACUUGAAAUGUGGACGAAUCUCAAAAACAUCCUAUCAGCCGCCAGAAGCGCAUCACAAAGACCACACAUCACAUGACCCUGCUGAUCUGAAAUGUCCAGAGUAGGCAGGUUCACAGGCAGGAGUAGAUUAGUGGUUUCCAGAGGCUCGGGGGACAGGAGGUAAUGGACGGAAGGUUUCUUCCUUGGUUGAUGAAAAUGUUCUGGGAUUAGA